CCGCGGGGGCUGGGGCCUUCGGGGAGCAGUUGGCGGCCGGGCUCCUCGUGGGACGCGGGGUUUGGGGUUGGUUCGGAGGGGUUUGGUUGCUGUUUGGCUUUUUCCGACGGUUCCGUCUCGGCCGGGAGCGGCUGGGCUUGGCGGUGCCGCUCCCGUUGCUGCGCGGUCUGAGCGCGGGCGGUCGAGUCGCGGCUGCCGGCGGCGGCUGCCCCGGCGCCCUCACAGCGCUCCUCACAGCGCGGAGCUGCGUCACGCGGCGGAGGGGCCCUCAGCCCGCUGCACCCCCGGGCGCUGCGCCAGCGCCUCAGUGCCGUCCGGAAGGACGGGAUGGAGCUCUGGGGGCAGCAGCUGUCAUCCGAUGGUGGGGAAGGUGUAGGAAAAGGGCUCCUCAGGUCAACUCGGAAGCCGGAGAAGAAAGGAAAACGCCUGCGCUCGGUCCGCGUUCCCCCGGCGGAGCGGGUCGGCACCUCGCCGCUCUUCGCUGCUGCCACAUGUACAGCUCCUCACCUCGAGACGUCUUCCCGGGCGUCUGGCUUCGCCUCUGCCUCACAGACAGCGCUGCGUGUGGCGUAAAUAGGCCGUUGUAUUGCACGGUGACCUUUGCAGGAAAGUUAAGUUAGCUGAAGGAAUUUAUACCGUCCCGGGAGAAGGAUUCUUCUACCUUUGAUUUCGGCUGAUGAGGACAUGGCAGGAGGGUGUUCACAAAAAUAAGCAUCCGUAUAACCAAGCGUGAGGGCUGCUCCAAAAGUAAUGCCUCCUGAUUUUGAUUCUGUGAUUCUGUUUUGUUUUGUUGGCCCACAGCAUCCGAGGUGGAUGUUGUUGGUAUGGCAGUGGAGGCUGAACCUUCCCACCAACAUCUGUUACGUGAUGUUGCCGUGUGACGGAUGGCAGCAGAGGGGCAGUCUGACAAAGUGGCAUCCGACAUGGGAGUCCAUAUGAAGCAAAGGUGUGGAAUUAAAUUCCUCCAUGCGGAAAAAAUGGCACCCGCUGACAUUCAUUGAUGCUUGCUGAACAUUUAUGGAGGCAAUCAAUGGAUGUGAGCACAGGGAGGCGGUGGGUGGGUGCAACAGAUGUAAGCCACAUUCUGGAUGUCCAUGCACAGCUGUCACACCUCAAAGUGAAGAGAGUCUCAACCAGCUCACCUACGUGAAUCAGCUGAUGGUGAUAGCUGUGUUGAAAAAUAGUGUUUUGUAGCUGAAUUUUGCUCUAUCAUAACACAAAUUGUGUUAUCAUUCUCUGUUGUAGUUUCCAUGGAAAUAAAUAGGAAGCAUUACCUUCAGAGCAACCUCUGAAUGUAUGUGUAUGUGGCUGUAACCGCAUAGAAUUGCAAUCCUCUUUCAGUGCAGUGGAAAUCAAGGUUGGUGCUUGGAAGUCUUUGAUAUUACUGGAUCACAGUCAGGCACAAAUGAUUGUUACUAUCUCUCAGCCCUUACCUAUAUUCAUAGUAACUAACCAGAUAGAGCCAAAUCAAUAUAGCUCUGUUUUAAGUCAGCUCAAGUGUAGUCCCAAGAAGAUCACAGAAUCACAGAAUGUCAGGGAUUGGAAGGGACCUCAAAAGAUCAUGUAGUCCAGUCCCUCUGCCGGAUUCCCCGUUAUGUUUUUAGAAUUAGAAAUGUAGUUUAGCUAGGUUAAUGACACUUGGACUGAGCACAGAGUAUUACGUAGCCUUCCUUUGUUUUCAGUCGCAGGAAAGAAGAAUCAUUAUGCAAUCAGUAAAUCCCAUCGAAAGCUGCUGAUGUGGCCUGAAUUGUGGAUAGCAAAUACUGGUAUUGAACUUCUCAGUCUGUAGGCCGUUAUGAAUAACAAUGCCUGGAUAAGUCAGUCUGUAGAACACAUUUUGAGGAAGCAAUAAGACUUUGUAAAACAAAGAAGAGAAGCUGAGUAAUUUAUUCACUACAAAUACUUCAGUUGUUUUGUAUAAAAAAUUACUAUGUCAUCUUGAGACAAGUAGAGCCUCCCAGGCACACUACUGUGAGAUGUUGUGAGCUGUUCUGGAGGAAUAAUGGGAAUCCUAUCACGGUUUAAGUUAAUGAAACCUUACUGCUAACUGCAGAAAUGAUAAGAUUUCAUUCACAAAUAUUGAUAUUAUGUUGAAAGAAGCUUUUGAGACCUGAAAAGGCUACCUAAUUGAGUGCUGUAAAUAGGAUUAACCUCAAUUCAGGUAUCCUCUUUCCCUUUUUACUUUUUUCAGAUUAUGGGGAACAUUUGGAUGUGUGGCUUUCACUUUCCCCCCCCCUUCUCUAUGAAAUGUAUAGGAGGAAGGAAAGGAAGAUGAACGUUUUUGAAAAUGCCACCUUCCCCAAGUUAGCAAUGCUGCUCAUGUAUGAUUUUGCAGGGAAGAAAACAGCAUCUGAUGCCAUCUGCAGUCCUGGACCAAGCCCAAACUGUAACUCAGACUGAAAUGGAAUUUGUUGUUCUAGUACUGGGUCAGCUACAAAACCGCCUUUAGCAGCCUGCUCUCGGGAGAGAUUGCUUCCAGUGAAGCAGCUGGGAGACUGAAUUACUGCUCGGUGGCUGCAGAAGUGUUCAAGGUCAAAGUUAAGAACAGAAGUGAGAAAUGCGGUAAUGAACUCUUGAUUUGAGUUUGUUGAAGAUGACAGCUUAUUGCUUAGGUGAACAAAUAUACCCUGAAAAUUAUUUUAAGCAGAUAGUAGGGAUUGGGCUCAUCGUUUUCUGGAUGAGCAUUUUGUUCCAGACUGCAAACUGGAAUUCAAUUGUGAGCGUCCAGCCUAGCAGGUCAAACAGGUCCUGCCUCAUCCAGCCCGCUGCUCAUUCUUCAUGAGCUCCAGGAUUGUUAUAAACUAAUCUGUUAGUCACUGAAAAAAUCAUCUAAUGUUAUUUCAGGCCAGACCAGUCUUGCUUCUCAUUGAAUAAAGGCUGUGGAGGGCAAAAAUAAAAUGGUCAUGCAAUACAUUAUUAUAAAUCUAGGAGUUGUCUUUGGAGUGUACAGGAACAAUCUACAAUAGCAGAUCACUUUCGUGCUGUUUGCUUCUUUGCGAACCAGCUUCUCAACCUGGUAGGGUGUUUCUUUUUCUUGCUUGUUGUUGUAAGGAGUCAGUGUAGAAUUCAACUGUCUAACGCUUUACCUCGUGUUUACAUGAUGUGUUCCAUAGCAGCCAGCAUCAGCGCUGUUUGGACUUGCCAGCACUGGGCAGAGGAAGUAGGGUGCACAAACAAGGUUCAGCUCAGCUUACUAAUUGCAGUAAGUACCUAAAAUAUCAUUCAGAAAACUAUUAAAAGAAGUCUGUGCGAUAAAAGAUGUUAGAGAGGUAUUUAUGUCAAAACAGCGUUGUGAGGCAGCUCAGUGAGAGCACAGAUGUUUGGAAACAAGUGUUUGCAGUAGGCAGUGAUUACCACGUAUUUUUAUUUGUGUGUUUCUGUGUCAUUGAUGGCUGUUGAUAUAAAAUGCUCUCUUGCAGUAAGUUCAAAGCCAACCACCUACCUACUAAUUUUGUGAUGCAUUUACUGUUAAUCCUCCCCGUAGCCUUCCCUUUGUAGUUAUCUUCUAUAUGAAACUAUAUUUACUGGAAUUUGUACAGACCUUGAUCUUCAACUGACUUCAACAACGCCGUCACGUACAUCAAAAUAAAUAGAUCUUAGUGCAGCUUUCCUAUACUCCAAAUGGAUCUUUUGUGUGUUCUAAUAAUAGAUUAUGCUACACUAUUAACAUGUAAGGUAAAGAAAGUAAUCCUAAGUAACCAAGAUUGUAACAACGGGUUACUUGUAUUGUUUCACAAUGAAACAAUAUGAAAGUGCUAUCAGAAUGCUGUGACUAGUGACAAGUAUCUGCUGCCUGGAACCUGCCAGUUGCGCUUCCCAGAUAGCGCAGCUGGGAUCUCAGUAAGAACCUGGAGCUCUCCGAUGCCUCCACAUCAUGCGUGGCAACAGCAGUUGAACAGCACAGAGGACCAUGGAAUAUGAGGCUCUGGGCAGCCUGGUCUAGUGGUUGGCGACCUUGCCGUGGCAGGGGGGGUUGAAACUAGCUGAUCUUUGAGGUCCUUUUCAACCCAGGCCAUUCUGUGAUUCUGUGAUGGAGUGCUUCCCGGCCCCAGGGCAGGGCAUGGGGCUGCAUGUGCCACCUUUAUCUGAAAUGCUGAUCUGCAUGUCUUAUAGAGUCCUCAGAGCAACUGGAACCAUGUAAGAAGAAAAGGAGGGGCUUUGUUUGCUCAUUAUGAGCGUAGAGUUCAUGAUUCUGAAAGAUGUCAGCGUUACAAUGUAAACAUAUCUGCAACACUUGUCUUAGGCAGUAUGGCACGCAGAACCCUGUUUCAGCUUAGAACAGAAAUCAUUUUUAGUGGUGAAAAUGGGUCAGAGUGUGGCAGUCCUCUCUGGGCUGGGACAUGGAGACAUCUGAAGAGGCAUCUAAGUCUGACAGUAGAUUGGAAUAUUAGCUUCUUGAUUAGUAGUACCCAUCCAUUUCAUAAAGAUUACUCAUUGCUUUGAAACCAAUUCAACAGAAUGUAAUACGCAGGGAUAACUUUUCUGCAGAUGCUUUGAUCUCUGAUAGCAUUUUCCAGUGAUUCAGCCAAGCGUUUUGGGACAAGGGGAAACCAUGGUUAGGUCACCUAAUGGCAGGAAAAACUCUGCCUGAAGAAGAAUAAGAAAACAUCUCUGGAAGACAGCUUGAUGUGCUGUGGGACCUGGGACUCGGAAAUACCUUAAUUAAGCUGAAACUGAUACUGUGUCAUGGUGGGGUAGAGGAGUGGGACCUAAAUAACCUGACCUCUGAGAAGAAUAUCCAGUGCAUCGUUAGGAUGCUUUGUCUGACUUCUUGUGGUACUCAGCAGGACCUCUGCAUCAUCACAGAACAAAUCUGCGGCUUCACAGACACAUCUUGAGUAAUCCUGACUGAGUUGUUUGGGGAGAAAGCUGAAAUGCUUGUAGUUUGUCCACGUUGUGAAGAGCUCCUGAGGAAUGUCGGAAGAAAACUGUCCUAAUGGCUGUCUGUUGUGGGUGACCCAGUUGAACAAACAAUUGGAUGGAUGGCUGCUCCUAGCUGAAGGGCUCUCACAGGGGAGCAGGAAUGGCACUCUGCAUUGGCUGCUGGGGCUUCUGCUCCCAGCCCUCAUCGGUCCGUUCUUGAAUCAUUAUGAUUUGCAGAGCAUCAUUUGAAAGGAAUCUGAAAUAGGUUUUCACACGUUGAUCACAUCCCCAAGAGCUUUGUAUGUCUCUGCAUCAGUUGGGUGUUUUUAAAAAACACAGAAGCUCCACAGGUCUGUCACCCCACCCUGCAAUAAGAGCAGUCGAAAGCCAAUGAAGAGUGCAUCUCUUCUUGCUGUAACGGUACUGUCCUAAAAUAGGCCCUGGUGUUCCAGUGCGCAGAAGGUGAAGGAUGGCAUAUAAACAAUUGCUUGUUUACUUUUCCCACACUUGGGAACUGGAGUAAAUUCAGCUCAGAGAUUCCACAGAAACACUUCCGAAUGGGGAAAUAGGAGCUGGGAAACAAAGCUGUGGAUUUGCUUAGAAGCAACCCGUUUCUUCCUCAAAAUAAGUCGAUGCCUUAAUCAAGUAGUCAGGUGCUUAAGGAAUCACAGGGAAUGGAAGAGACAGCUUUCCAGGCUUGUUGAGAAGAGGGGGAGCUGAUUGCCCACAGGAUGCUGCUCAGUUGUGGCAGAAGACAAAGGGAAUGGGCUGGUGGCAGAAAAGAAACCCCUGCUGGAGCCAAGAGAUCUCUGCUGUGCCUUGUUCUAUGGAAGGGUCACUAGGCCGCUGUCUCUGUUGCUGCUAAAGCACCUUUACAGACAGGCGUAGGUCUUUCUGCUAUUUGCUGUUGUUCUCUUUUGAAAUGGAGCAGUUUUUCAGAAGAAAGCACUCCCACUGAUCUUGUUCAUAAAUAUAGAGGCGGUGUUGUGAGUACGUAGUGUUACUCCGUCAGGCUUCAGGGCAGUGUAGGCUCAGAGCUUGCCAACAUAAUCUUUGGCCUUCUCUGCUAUCUGGGUUUGGAGCUUCAGGAUCUCUCAGGCUAUGGCGUGGGGAAGACCCCAGUUGUAGAUCCCCUGCAGUCACUCCAUCAGCCUGCACUAUCAGGCGCAGCAUCUCAGCAAUACCGUGUUUGUACAGCGCACACACCCUGCAUGCACCUACAAGCCUGCUUUAUCACUGCUAAGUCUCUGCUGUGAAAGUAGAUUUCUGCUGGUGGAACUGCCCUGCCAGGCAGGGAGGUGUGCUGACUGCUCUGUCCUGUCCUGUGCCGUUGUGCUGGGAGAGACAGACCGGGAAUCGGGCUCACAGAGCAUACAGGUCCCAAGUUCUUUUGUACCUCAUUUUGCUUUCACACUAUCACUGUUACCUGUGUGCAUUAUUACGCUGCCCAAUCCAGUAUUGAUCUUCAUAUUGUGUUUUAACAGAUUGGAGUUAGGAGCUUCUUCUGUCUCCUUUGCCUGUGUCCCAUGACUGUGGCAUAUGCUGCUUUUUAACCUUACCUUUGUUUCUCUGAGUCCCUUCUUAAAUAGGAUUUACAAUAGCUGUGAUUUUUCCUUACAUUUUCUUUUCUUCACCUUUUUCCCAAGUGGAUGGAAAUCUUAGCUUCUUCCUAAGCAAGGUGAAAGUAUCCCGCAUGAAGAAGUUUUGUGUGGCUCCAGCCACAGAGAUGCUGAGUACUUGUUUCUCUCUAUUUGACUAGAAAACAGUACCUGGCGAUGGCUGUUUGUUUAUAUGGUGUGCUUGGGUGUGAGGGGCAAAGCAGGCAGAUUUACAUUUACAUUUCUGUACUGCUUUUUUCUCGAGCUCCCACACAUGAGCAAUUGCCCUGCAGGGUAGGGUGGGGGUGAGAUAUGUGUGUUGCUCUUUAUUUCGCUAUAAACUUCGCUCUGAUUACUAGGACUUCUCCAGGGAAGACGAGCCCUGCCUUACCAUUGCUGGGGGUAUAAAUCACUCCUAAUUAAUACCACAGUUAAGCUGCCUGGAGAGGAAGGCAAAACUCAUACGCUUUGGCUGUGUCAUUCCAGUAAACCUGUAUGAGAGGGAGGCCAGACUGACAGCCUGCAGGCUCUGUGCCCUGGGGCAGAGACACAGGUUGGUAUCAGGAUGAAGUUGCUCAAGCUUUGGUGAAGUUGCUCAAGUUUUGACCCAGAUCCCAGCUGUCCAGGACAAUUCCUGACCUGUGGAGCUCUUGAAGGAGGAGCACAAGGCAGACAUGAGGAGGUAGGUGCAGCACCUCUCCAUUUUGUAUGUGAGGUUUUUGAGCAACACACUUGCCAAAGGUUUUGUGGGGAAUCUGCAGAGCCAGGAAUUUAUUAACCCCAUGCCCAUCUCUCAGGCUGGUGCCAGAAGCAGACAGGUAGUUUGCUAAAUGCUUCAGCCCAACUCCUGGAAAGUAUGCCUGCAUUCCCACUGAAACCAGCAAGUUCCCCAGUUUAGAAUGCAUUUAUUUUUAAACUGUACAGGCAGAGCCUACAUGUUUUGACAAAGUAGCGCCAGAGCAUUGAGUGCCUUGGAGAUUCUUAGCCCUUACUGACUGCUCGCUGAAAGCACUGCCUCAGCCUCCUGUGGACUCCCAGACAGUGCCUGAGAGAGUGCGUGGUGCCUUUCUCAGCCUGGCCUUGCCCUUUUUAGCUUAAAUCAAUAGCAAAGAUGAAGAUAGAGUGCAAAGGGAAAGAGUUCAGAAUGAACAGUGCUCACUAAAUAGACAACCCACAUGUGAAAUGUAGGAUUUUAAAUGCAAAUGCCUUCAUCUUGUCUUAUCAGAGCCAAUUGGUUUAGCCCCUGUGCUACACAGGUUGAGUUUAAAUGCUGUACGGAUAACUGAGCUGACACCAGUAUUUACAUGGGACAACUGAUGAUGCAGUGUUGUAGUUGGCUUCCAGGAAAGAUCUUACCCCGGGCAGAACAGAGUCAAUCUCCACCAAGGUUGUACUUUCUCAUCAUUAUUUCUCUCCUGUGUGAAGUGUAGGCAGUGGGCACCGAGCUUGGCACCACAGCACAGUGGAGCAGGAAGUAAUGGGGAUUUCCCUGAUAGCCCCAAGGUCACAGUAGUGAGCAUGCAGCAACUUGGGAAAAAGCAGCACACAGGAGAAUGUCAGAAGGUCCUGUCACCCUGGCUGUCCUGCAGCCUUGUUUGUAAGGUAAGGGAUGAGAACAUCUUGGUAACAACAUGCUUCAUCCCCCCUCCUUACAAUAAAGUUGAGGGGGUUUUCUGGGAAGGCUAACAGGUUGAAAGCAUUCCAGUUGCCACUGGUUGACUUAGCUCAGUGGAAGAAUAUGUGCCUGCCCAAAGGAGCUUUCUCCUUACCCUAAAUCAUGCAUUUCUUCCCUCUUCUGUCACAUCAGCAGACUUGCUCUUUCAACCUCCAGGGAACUGUUUUGUUUUUGCUUUCAAUAGGGUCAGUUUUCAGGCAAGUAAGUAGGCUGGUUUGACCCUGUAAAACUCCAUUCCCAAACUGUGGGAGUGAUGGAGACAACAAAAGCAAGGGGACAGGAGUUGUAGGGCAGACCCACCUCUUUUGGCAGUAACUCGGUUUUAGCUUUGAGUUUUAGUAAUUGUGAAAGUGCACGAAAAGCAGUCUUUUCUGUUUGGGAUGAAUGAAAGCCUUCCAGGUGUAAGCAUGGGGAAUUAAUUACAGCAUUCGCCCAGCCCAGUUCUUCUCCUGGAGUCUGACACGUGGCUGCCUCAUGUGAUGUCUCUUGGCACCGCAGAGACAUAGCAUCACCCACAGCUCUGGCAGCAGCUGCUGCUUUGAGCCUGUCAGCCUCCUCCACUGGCUGGAGUAGCAGUGAGUUUCUGCAGGUGCACGGCAUGCAUCGCCAUAGUCCCAGUGAAGCCACCGAGUGCGUGGAAGUCUAUGAAUGAGAGCAGCUAUCCAAUCAAGAAGGUAUUUUCUACACUGCAGGUUAAAUGGCCAUCUUUCCCUCAAGAGAUGUGUGUAUAAAAGACGUGGCUGGUUUUUACAGACAGUACUAUGAAGACGUCGGUCGUUUUGAGUUGCCCUUUGCACCGCAUCACUGUUCUGUGCUUUGGAAGUGGUUGCAGGGCUGGCUCAAGUUCUGUCGGCUGUGCCUGGGGUUAAAGCAGAUGCUUUGGCCCUCUGAACCCAGCCUGGCAAGAUGAGGGCAGGGAGGCAGGAUUUCCCCUCCGUUGUUUUCUUUGAGUUCCAGAGCUUCCAACGAGGCUGGGAGAGGGGAAGGGUGACCAAGGAUAUCUGAGCAUCUUCUCUGUAAGCAAGGCCAAUUAUACACACGGCAAUUACCUCAGUGUAAACAGCCCAUCGUACCGAGAUGGGGAGAGCCUUUUGAGCCUGGGGAGGGUGCUUUGAAGUGCUUCUGCUCAGAGAGUGUCCAUUAAUGCUGGGAAUUGCACCGGCCGCAGCCCUCGGCUGCGUUAAGAGGAGUUGGGCGGCGGUGCCUAUUGAGCUGGGCGGGAUGGCUGUUAGGUGCCCUCGGUAUGACAAAGCGGUCGUUAACAUUCCAGCAGCGAUGGGGCAGUAGCCAGUAGCAACGCUUGCCUGCCUCGGCCAGCCCUGCUUGCUGCCGCUAGCGGUGCCAUAAGGGCACUUCUCUCCUGUACGUGCUAGAAUUCCACUUUCCUAGCGGUAUCUGCACGAUUUCUCGCCUGUACUGUGGAAGAAUCUUAGCAAGUCACACCGAAGUUAAUAUAAAUUAUCCAUCUCUCAGCAGGGAGGAGGAUUAUGUCAAUUUCGGCUAAUAGCUGCCAAAUAAUAGACACACAGAUGCUCUUAAAUUGGUUUAAUUCCCGUUGGCUGGCCCUGACAAUUGGGAGCAAAGAUAAAUAUAUACAAAGCAUUCAAAGCUCGGGGUGUUAUGAUGCUAAUUGAAAAGUCACCAAAGGAAGCCCUCACGGUCUGUGGGAACCUCGGUGCACGGGAUUAGCGGCUAAUUAGCGGCUAGGAGCUGUCUCAUCCCGAGCACAGGCACCUCUGCCCAUGCAGUCAGUCCUUGCCCUUGAUACCAGCAAUAAAGAAACUGCUGUGGGCAGCAGGCAGUGUGAUGGUAGGAAGAUAACGUAGUAUUAGCAGUGUAACAAGUUCUCCCAUCAUGCACAGAAGCAAUGUCAGAAAUGCUUGCUGUGUCUUGGGCCACAGCAAACAUAAAGGCAUUUGAGGCCUGAGCUCUUCCCCUCCCCCCCCCCCCCUUUUUAACAAAUGCACAAGUCUUGUUAUGUGACUUUUUACCUCUUUCAUGUCAUGUUUGCAGCAGAGGACAGAACACAUUCUGGAGACCCCGAGCCUCAAACCCUGCUGUGGACUCUGCAGUGAGUGCACACAGGCAGUCGCAGCCCCUUCCUUGCACGGUGCUUUAGAAUCGUGACAUUUAAAAAACAUACAAUCCGUCUGUCAGCAUCCCAGUAUUUCCCUCUCAAGCUGUUCCCUGGUGGACAACUGAAGAAUCCGAGUUUUUCAAAUAACACACUUGUGUUAUGUGAACCCAAGGGCUCGGCCUGUGGAAAAAGAGAUUUGCAAAAUGGUACGAAUCAGUUGCAUCACUGGCACCGCUGAACUAAUCAGGGCUUUGUUUAAUGAGGGGUGCAUCUAUUUUGCUCAAUUACUUCCCGCUGGUGAGAAUCCUUCAUUUAUACUUUCAUUUGGGAAUGCUGGUUUUGGAACUCUCCGGAGUUACAUGUUUUCUUGUCCUCACAUUUGCUUUUUCAGAUCUGAAACAGCUGUAAACACAGCUUUAAACUGUUACACACCCUCACAAUUAAAUUAACCAGUAUUACACUUCACAAAGACACCAAGGAGCAAUAGCAGGGAGGUUCACUUGUGAGCUUUGGAGGAGCUAAAAAGCUUCUUUCCUGUGUUAACCAGCUCUGAGUAAUGCGGUUUUGCACAAGCUGGAGUCAGAAGUGGGUAAUGUGAGGAACCCAUGCUGGUAGGCAGUGACCUGCAGUGCGUGGGCUGGUGGCCUAAGUCAUCUCUUCUGGCAACCAGCAGAGGGGUGCUUGUAGCCUGGUUUCCUUAACCCUCCUGUUGACCAGCCCUCCAGACAGCUAACUCUCUUCUCCAGCUGCUGAGAAAUAGCUAAAUCGUAGAAUCAUUUAGGUUGGAAGAGACCACUGAGAUCAUCCAGUCCAACUGCCAACCCAUCCCCACCAUGCCCACUGACCAUGUCCUUCAGUGCCACAUCUCCACAGUUCUUCAACACUUUCAGGGACGGUGACUCCACCACCUCCCUGGGCAGCCUCUGCCAAUGCCUCACAACUCCUGAGAUGAAAUUUGUCUUUAUAUCCAAUUCCCCACCCCCCAGUACAACUUAAGGCCAUUACCUCUUGUCCUGUCACUAUUACAUGGGAGAAGAGGCCGACCCUCACAGUCAUCCACAGUGAGAGCUAACAAACAAAGAGGACCAUCCUUCAUAUAGCAGCUAUGUUGUAGAAGUGAUGAUCUGGGAAGAGGGUAGGGAAAAGUGAACAGACUUUUAGGCAUAGAAGUUCUUCUACAGAUCUGAAAGAAACCUCAGACUUCAAGCUAUUUUGCCCCCUCACAAAAUCCUGUAGAAAAAAGAGAUAACAGCCCCAUACAACCACCUCUGCUGUAGAUAAGCUGCCCAGCUGGCUGGGCAGCCCAAAGAACCCAGCUGCUCCAGGAGUCUUAAUAGCUUUUGUGGAGCAACAGAUUCCUGAAAUGAUGCUCACCGUUCAGUAUGUUUGUCAGAACUGGAAUGAGAUACACAGGAAUAAUAUUUUUCGGCCAAGGUAUUUCUAACUGGUUCUCGGUGGGUAUUAGUAAUAAUACAGCUGUCAGCUUUCGCAGUGUUUUUUAAGCAGAAGUGCUUUGUAUCUUUCAAGGUGUCUUCCCUUUUAUCUUAAGCAAAAUACCUGUGGGAACCAUUAGUAAUGGUUUCUGGUACUGCUGGACAAUAGUAGUGUGAAGAUACAGAGUGCAGCAACCCAUGCAGCAUAGGAACCCAGUGACAGGCUGGAAGGCACUCUGUGCCAGAGCGUGGCAAGGAGCGAGCAGCAGAUCAGACAGCUGCUUAAUCCCUCUGUGAGUUGAAAAGAGGGAGGAGACGCAAAUCAAGAAGAAGGAGAGGACCGUAGAGAAGAAACUGCAGAGGAAUUCCUGAUUUCUAUAGGAAUCUCUGCAUGACACACUGGGUCUGUGGGAGCCCAGAGCUCAGCUCAGCCCCUCAAAACCUGGUACCACAGCUGUAACUCUCAGGAUCUCUUCUGAGCAAAUCUCGUGCCAUUUAGGGAAGGUGCUGGGCUGAGCUGAAGCUGUGCAAGUACAGCUGUUCUCAUAUCAGCUAAGAAAAAGUAAAAAUCAGUUUAAAGCAUUAGCCUGUUCCAAAAAAAAAAAAAAACAGUGCUAAACCUCAUUCUAGAGCUACUGUUAAGUUGAAAUAUAUAUAUUUAAGUGCUCCUUCAAAUAAAGCCUAAAAACCCAUUUGCUUUUCCAGUGGUCUAAUGACUGCUUUUGCCAGGUUACUUCCAACAUAGAAUUCACCUACAGUCUAAAGCGAUGCCUGGGAGAUCCAAGCAUUCUGGUAUGACUGGGAUAAAGCUGAGGUGAGAGGCAGGUCAGAAUCGGGUGUACCAUGGAGGUAUCUGCAGCCUUUGUGGGGAAAGAUUACCAUCUUGGUGGGGAGAUCGUGUUUCUGUUAUUACCAGUAACAACUGGUUUCUACUAUCUACUCUCCCCUCUUUGUUGUCCGGUAGGCCCUGACAACUGAGGGACUCAAUGCAGCACGCAGGUGAGGCUGAGGCUGGGCUCAGAAGUGCCGUCAGAUGGUGUCACGCACGUGGGGAUGUGUGGUAGCACGGCCCCGGUCGCAGAGAGCCUGCAGUCCGAGCCAGGAGCCUGCAAGAGGGCAGCACGGAAAAGCAGUGACACCUGUGCUGUUUUUAAUGGGAUUUGUAGCUGUGGGGUUUCGACAGAACCCACUUUUUCUUUCAGUGCAUUCUGACGUGGAAGUAUGUGAAAUGUAUUACCACAAGAGCAGGCUGUCUUGUGAGUGCUUCUGCGGGGCAAUGUCUUUUCUGCAGAGCUAGCCAUGGGGACCGAGCUUUAGCUGGGAGCAGCUUGGUCGGCGCCAUUUUCCCUCUGUGGCCUGUGCAGGAAGCUAACACCAGCCGACUUUGCACACUGUGGGACCGUAACAGGCUGCUGCCUGCGCCCGGGAGCGCAGACCCUCCUGCUGCACUCGGCAGAGCAAGUCUGAACUGGGUGCAUGGAGCAGGAAAUGCCAGUUCACAGCCCUCCCACGUGGCUCCAGGCUGCGUGCACAAUGACUUUUCCAGCCCCCCAGACUCUGUACACAUGAAUCCCUUCACCGUCCAGACGCCGUUUUGGGAUUGGCACAGCAUUCUGUGAUCUUGGAAGGCCGCUCAUGUGGUGUGGGAGCCAUCGCACACGCCUCUUGCAUUGGGUGCCUGCUGUGCUCCGCUGCAGGUAUUGACGUGUAGGAGAGCUUUGUCACAACAAACAGCCAAACGCUGCGCUUUUUUUCCAUCCGUGGAAGAUACCGUCAUACUUUCCAAUCAGUCUCAGUGAAAACCAUCAGUGGGGCUGCAAAAAGGUUAAAGGUUUGCAAGUUUAGGAUUUGGUGGGAAUAUGUGCUUGUUUGGACUUGGCCCAAGAGCCUCAUUUACCUGUUUGACAGGUAACAAUUAGCGAGCAAUAGCUCUGCUGGCUGGAAUGCGGCUGCGAGGGCCAGCGGGCGCUGGGUUAGCGGGUGGGCAGGUGUGGGUGCAGCACCCAGAUAGGUAUGUGCAUGCACAGCAUUCCUGGGAAUCAGCUUUCCCCUAAAGAUGGAGCGAUGACUGCGGGGCACAAAAGGGCUGGGCUUAGCUCGGGCUCUGAGAGGUGAGCUGUUUGCAAGGUAAAGAAGUAAGGUAAACAGUGGGAGAGAAGGCGAGCUGACAAAGAGGCUGGGGGAAGCAGCUGCCUCUUUUUUUCAUGGUCCAGCAAUAGGAGAGCAAAGGAAGGGCUUGUAAGCUCACUUGGCACAGUGUAAAUGCGAAACGGCGAAACCAUUUGGCAGUCAGCUUAGAAACAGUUACGCUGCUGAUGUGCUCGUCCCUCAGCUCUGCCAUCAGCAGGAAUCCAAAUGCCAACGAGUUUAUCAAAUAAAACCAUUUACUGACAAGCAGCCUCGAUUCCAGCUCCUGCUGACAGCCCCUCCAGUGUCCCUAGGGGGAACUGGUGGGAUAAGUGAUGCUGGCUGUCAGGGACAUGGCAGGUGUUACACAACGUUUGAUAUCUCGCCCUCACAACAGGUAACCCUUCUGUUGUAGGAACAGAAAAGUUUGCUGAUUCUUUUCAUAUUUUAUUCCCAUUUGUGAACAGGCUUUUGUGUUUGUGUAUUUCCACUCAGGUGUUUCAUACUUGACAAGCAAGUCAUUGUGAGACUGGAGAAGCCACAUCCUUCUUCCUGGUCUCUGUAGUUCCACCUGCAGAGUUAGAGUAGUGUGUUCCAUCUUCCUAACCAAAGGAGACACAGAUGAAAGGGGCCUAAGUCAUCAUGUCAGCUGUGUUCGUGAGAGAAAGAGAGUAAAAGGCACCCAGGGACCGAGGCAAGAAGUGAACAGUGCCAUUCCCUUCCCUGCAUCUCCCAAUCUGCCCCAGACUUCCUCAGCUGGAGCUUGGAUCCACCACUCUACAUUUCAAACCUCUGAGUAAGUCAACACAUUUUGCCAAGUUGUCUGAUCACCAAUUGAACUCCUCAUCCACAGCAUUACGGUUCUUGUUUGUCUGCUUAUAUGUCUGCAGGAUGUGACAGGUACCUAGAAAAAUCACUUUGUCCCAGUGGCAUCCCUUGUUAAUGUCAAAGGGAGCUGCAUGGAGAGGCUGAGCUGUGGUUGGCACUGAACUCUGUGCUCCUCUGGUGUCUGGAAACGGGAAAUGUACUUGUAGGGAGACCAGACUCAGGGGCAGCCUUGUGAAAGAGUAUUUCUUCACCCUUCACUUUUUUAGGAGUGUGAACACAAGGAAUUUAAUCUUUUCAUUUGGUUACUGCUGCUCUCUGCUAUAUCAGCACAGCCGCCAGAGCUGUUGUAAACAUUUGAAGAGUGGCGUCAAUUAAAGGUGACUCAGGAACAAAUGUGAUAUGAAGAAUUUGGAAGGGUUGGAAGAACAGCCAGUGUGCCAAAUGCUUUUCUAAAUGGACAACUAGAGGGAUGAAGAAGAGGGUGGUUUGGGAGUCACCCUUCCCACUUCAGCUGUGCGGUUAUGGUGACUACAUGUCCUGUUUGGAAGCACACAGUGACUCGGAGGGCCAUCAUCCCACCAGUGCAUGAAGCUUGCAGUGAGUCAGCCCCUGUAUGUUACAAGGCAGGAUGGCUCCAGCUGCUAUUCAGGCUCUGUACAGUUUGACACUACUUCAGGGCGGAUAUGGGGACUCCAGAGAAUAUGGCAAGGGCUGUGUUGCUCACAGGUAACUGCCAGUAAGGAGCCCACCAGGUAAAGUGGAUCAGAGAUGGCAUCCAUAAUAGUCUCUCACCCCAGCAAAGCAUAUUCUAGAAGAGCGGUGUUGAAAAAGGACCAACUCAAAGAAAUUCACCACCACAGGUUAUUCCCAGGCAGCACUACCCUACGCGAGAAGUAACAAAACACAUGACCUUACUCUCUGUGAAGUGUUUGUGGAGCUUUUGUCACCAUAGCACCGAGUCACCAAAUACAGAAAGGUCCCUCCCGUGAUUCAUAACUGAACCCACAGUGGCUGCUGCUAUUUUCUGCAGUCCUUCUCACCCUGCCAGUGGAUGGCAGCUGAGUGGAGCAGUGCUGAGCACUCGCCGGCCUCUCUCUCUUCCCAGUGCCUUGCAAACAACUCCCAGUUCUCAGCAGCUUUUUGAGCUGUUCUGGGCACCUGAGGAGAGCAGGUGGUUCUGCGGUCAUUUCAUACAACCACAGGUCUGGUCAGAGUAAGGACACGAAGUGAUCUGCACUAUAGGACCUUGGGCAGAGUUGGCCAUCACCAGACUUCAGCUCUUUGUGAAGGAGUUUUCUGACAUAGUUAUCAGUCUGAGACUUACAGAUUAAGAAUUUUAUAGCCAAAAUACUUCUGCUACGCGUGACAGUGACAAUAGAUAACAAUACAAUAUUUGUCCAAUCGGUUUUCAUAUUUUUGGACACGAGUCGCGUUUUUUACCUUCCGAUGCUGGACUGCUCUGAGAUCCCAAUGUUAUUGGAGGUCUUUUCCAACCUUAAUGAUUCUGUGACUACAUUUUCCCACAUCACUAGUGAUAGGACAAGAAGGAAUGGCCUCAAGUUGUGCCAGGGGAGGUUCAGGUUGGAUAUUAGGAAAAAAUUAUUCUCUGAAAGAGUGGUCAGGCAUUGAAACGGGCUCCCAGGGGCGGUGGGGAAGUCACUGUCCUUGGAGUUGUUCGAGAAGCAUUUAGAUGUUGUACUAAGGGACGUUGCUUAGUGGAGAAAAUAUUGGUGGUAGGUGGACGGUUGGACUGGAUGAUCUUAGAGAUCUUUUCCAACCUUGGUGAUUCUGUGAUUACUGGAGGGGGAACAAGCUACCACGGACUGUAUCUGCAGGAGAAUCGCUUCCUAGAUGUAAUCUGAACCGUGAAUGGCAUUUCAUUUGGCAGAACUAGAUAUUUUGGGUGGGACGCGAAACUGGAGAAGUGGGAUGGCAGAAGUGGUGGCUGGGCAGCAAGAUCUGCAGGCAUGGCAGUGAGAAACCCACCAAUGGACACUGAAAAAAGGCACCUCCAGGCAGAGGAGGUGCAGAGGCUGCUGCAGAACGGGUGAUGGGACCUGUGGGCAUGGCCUCAUGGCGGCAGGCUCAUGGGGAUUGGGAACGGCCCCCGAGGAGACUGAGAGCACAGGAAGUCAGCCUUAGGGGGAGUCCUGGGUCUGCACAGUGCAGAGAGCGGAGGAGGUAUUCCUCAAAGAAGUGACUACCACGAAGCAAACAGAACAAUCUCAAUUAAAGGGCAGUAGUAGCACAGGACAAUACCAACCUUAACAUAUUCCAGGUGGUAAAGAAUAGAUGGCCUCCAACCAGGAGAGGAGCAAGUUACUGGAAGAGAUCCCUGGGAGGAGCAGUGGGAAUGGGAGUGUGGGUGCUUGAGAUGCAGCAUGGAGGGGAGGCCCUGUCGGCACUGCCUGGAGCACAGUGGGUACAUGAGCCCUCCAGGAGCACCUGCUUGAGCAGCUUCUGUUUUGGCAGCUCCCAGCUGUCAGAACCACCACUCUUUCAGAGCACUUGGGGAGUGUGACAGCAGGUCUUCCGCAGCAUCAGUUGUUUUAUUUCUGUGAAUAAGGUGAUUCAUGUAGGCCUAAUUAUGUACUGGCAACAGUAGUAGAAAACCUUGAGUACUGUGUUCAGUUUGGGAUGCCUCGCUACAAGAAGGACAACAAGGACCUGGAAUGUAUCCUCAGAAGGUCAACAAAGCUGUGAGGGGUUUGGACCACAAGUCUUAUGAGGAGCAACUGAGGGAACUGGGAUUGUUCAGAAGAGGAGGCUCAGGGAAGACCUUACUGUACUCUACAACUGCCAAAAGAAGGUUGUGGUGAAGGGGCGGUCAGCCUCUUCUCCAGAGUAACAGGGAUAGGAUGAGAGGUGAUGGCCUCACGCUGCGCCGGGGGAGGUUCACGUUGGAUAUUAGUAAACAGUUCUUCUCAGGAAAAGAGGUAGUGCAUUAGCACAGGCUGCCCAGGGAGUGGUGGAGUCACCAUCCCUGGAGGUGUUCAAGGGAUGUGUACAUGUGGCACUGAGGGAUGUGGUCAGUGGGCAGUAUUGGUGAUAGGAGGACGGUUGGACUGGAUGAUCUUAGAGGUCUUUGGCAACCUGAAUGAUUCUAUAAUUCUAUGAUUCUAUGAAAAGAGAAACAGAAGAGAGAAGCUAUCUGUGUUUAACAAAACCAAUACACUGCCACCAGUGAUUAAAUGCUGACACGCUGAACGUGUCUCACCCAAGGCUUGUAGGGACAAAGCAAACAGUGUGCUGUUUGUCUGCAGCCCAGCAAUCGAUGGCAAGCGUUUGUGGGAAAUAAACCAAUAAACCAGCA
ensembl:lncRNA